rnacentral:rRNA from 1 species
GGAGGAAAGCAGGGGAUCGCAAGACCUUGCGCCCAUUGAGCGGCCGAUGCCUGAUUAGCUAGUUGGUGAGGUAAAGGCUUACCAAGGCGACGAUCAGUAGCUGGUCUGAGAGGACGAACAACCACACUGGGACUGAGACACGGCCCAGACUCCUACGGGAGGCAGCAGUGGGGAAUUUUGAACAAUGGGGGAAACCCUGAUCCAGCCAUGCCGCGUGAGUGAAGAAGGCCUUCGGGUUGUAAAGCUCUUUCAGCCGGAACGAAACGGUCACGGCUAAUACCUGUGACUACUGACGGUACCGGAAGAAGAAGCACCGGCUAACUACGUGCCAGCAGCCGCGGGAAUACGUAGGGUGCGAGCGUUAAUCGGAAUUACUGGGCGUAAAGCGUGCGCAGGCGGUUUUGUAAG